AGCCCUAAGAUACAUGACAGGAGGUAUUUCCAGUAAAGACAGGGAAGAGUUAGUACCAUUAUACAAGGCACUGCUGAGACCUCAUCUGGAAUACUGUGUUCAAUUCUGGUUUCUCAUCUUUAAGAAAGAUGGAUUCAAACUGGAAUAAGUGCAGAGAAGGGCUACUAGGAUGAUCUGAGGAAUGGAAAACCUACCUUAUGAGAGCUUGGCUUGUUU